rnacentral:tRNA from 1 species
CCCUGGUUAGCACAGUUGGUAGAGCGCUCCACCUGUAAUGGAGAGGUCCCGGGUUCGAUACCCGGACCAGACA